AACCUCCGCAAUGUGAGAAAUCGCGACGGGGGGAUCCCAAGUGCCAUUCUUAACGGGAUGGCUUUUCAUUAGUGUAAAGAGCUUUUGGAAUAAGAGCUGGGCAAGACCGGUGCCAGCCGCCGCGGUAACACCGGCAGCUCUGGUGGUAACAAUUUUUAUUGGGCCUAAAGCGUCCGUAGCCGGUUUAAUAAGUCUCUGGUGAAAUCCUGUAGCUUAACUGUGGGAAUUGCUGGAGAUACUAUUAGACUUGAGACCGGGAGAGGUUAGAGGUACUCCCAGGGUAGAGGUGAAAUUCUGUAAUCCUGGGAGGACCGCCUGUUGCGAAGGCGUCUAACUGGAACGGUUCUGACGGUGAGGGACGAAAGUUAGGGGCGCGAACCGGAUUAGAUACCCGGGUAGUCCUAACUGUAAACGAUGCGGACUUGGUGUUGGGGUGGCUUUGAGCUGCUCCAGUGCCGAAGGGAAGCUGUUAAGUCCGCCGCCUGGGAAGUACGGUCGCAAGACUGAAACUUAAAGGAAUU
rnacentral:rRNA from 1 species